CGGCGUAGCGCUGGAGCUGGCUCUCGCCGCGCUGCUCCUGCUCUUCCUCCCGCCCUACUACGUCUACAGGUUCACCGCCUCCUUCCUCGGCUCCGUCUUCCCCGACAACGUCUCCGGCAAGGUCGUCCUCAUCACCGGCGCCUCCUCCGGCAUAGGCGAGGUAUGCAUACGUUACAUCACAGCAUACGUCUCUCCAGGACAGAUGCUUCACCUUUUCUAUACGGUAGAUUUAUCUAGUUUCUUGUUUGUGUGUGUAGCACCUGGCGUAUGAGUACGCGAAGAGAGGAGCCAACCUGGCGCUCGUGGCGAGAAGGGAGGCGAGCCUCCGGGAGGUCACCGACAACGCGUCGGCGCUCGGCUCACCCAGCGUCCUUGUCUUGCCGGCUGACGUCUCCAAGCCCGACGACUGCCUAAAGUUCAUCGACGACACGGUUGCCUACUUCGGAAGAUGUAAGUCUGAACUGAAUGGCAUCUAUGCCACCGUAGACAAAUAUUGCUACAUGAAUUUUCCUGAAAACAGUAGAUUAACUGAAUCCAUAUAUGACAUAUAUUCAUGUAAGUGCUUAAUGAUCACUGGGAUUUUUGGUGAAUCAUAUCAAGAUUGACGAGUGUGCAUUCGGAUCACCGGAACUUUCUUUUGAUGUGCCUGCUAUUUGCAGUGGACCACUUGGUGAACAACGCGUCGAUUUGGCAGGUCUGCAAGUUCGAAGAGGUGGAGGACGUGAGCUACUUCAGAACACUGAUGGUACGCAACACAGGCCGUUUUCAGUUCUUCACACAAACUUAGGGCGACAAUGAGUGAGAAUCUGACUUCUGCACGUAGGACAUCAACUUCUGGGGUCAUGUGUACCCAACUCGCUAUGCCAUUCCUCACCUGAAGAAAACCCAUGGCCGGAUCGUUGGUGUCACCUCCAACUCCUCCUACAUAUUCAUCGGAAGGAACACCUUCUACAAUGUCUGUGACGAGCCCCUUCCGUGCUUGCUAGCAUAAACCAUUGAAAUGCACGGGUACAAUGUGGAAUUGUUGCUAAUGUGAAAUGUCUGUUAUUUGCAUGGCAGGCGAGCAAAGCAGCGGCGCUAAAUUUUUACAACACGCUCCGGAUGGAGCUUGGCGGGGACGUCCGCAUUACAGAGAUCGUCCCAGGGGUGGUCGAGUCAGAGAUCACAAAGGGGAAGAUGCUCACCAAGGAAGGAGAGAUGAAAGUUGACCAAGACGAAAGAGAUGUAACACGAGUUGCCACAUGAUAUUAUUGUUCGACCACGGUAGCAUCAUAUCAAUUCAUGUUGUUGAUCUAGCUGAUUGUGAUCAUCGCAGGCGAUCCUUGGGCCAACACCGGCAGAGCCUGUCGCCGCUUUCGCAAAGACGGCGGUGAAGGAUGUGUGCCGGGGGGAGAGGUACGUGUUCGAGCCGAGGUGGUACUUGGCGGUGUACCUGUUCAGGGUCUGCUUCCCAGAGAUCCUGGCCUGGAGCUCCCGGCUCCUGACCGUGAAGACACUGGGGCGCCCUGCAACGACCGACACUGUGGGAAGACAGAUCCUCGACAUGCCCGGGGUGCGCUGGUUCACCCAAACGGCCUCGCUGCGGUCGCCGGAGAUUCAGGCCAGGUGAAAGUAGCUGGAUCGGCCCGUUGUGAUGUAGGAAGCCCACUACGAGGUCUGGUAGUAGUAAGAUGAAGCUUUGUCGAACUAAAACGUGCUUGUGUACUAGUAUGUCCAUGGUCCGUAAUAAUUGAGAGUGGAAAAGAACAUUACAGUACUUUUUUUUCUUCGUCUGAAAUCCAGUGGACAACGUAGAAGACAUCACUACUUGGUGCAAUGUGCAUGGAACUUCACUUCUGAGUUACCGAAUUGGGAAUUUGAUGCGGCUUGUCAUGUGUGUGUGUGUUGGUGGGGGGAACACAGACAGUUUACAGGAACCUAGACCUAAUCACUAUUUCAGUUCGACAUACAUUCAUUUGAGCGUCGACUAAUUUCGGACAAAAGGAGUACAAACAUUCUGUACAUUCUUUCGGACAGAGGGAUUCUUGACG
rnacentral:lncRNA from 1 species